rnacentral:rRNA from 1 species
GUUGCCAGCCCGCUCAGAAACUCAAAGGAAUUGACGGGGCCCGCACAAGCGGAGGAGCAUGUGGUUAAUUCGAUGAUACGCGAGGAACCUUACCUGGGCUCGAACGUAAGAUGACUGUAGGUGAAAGCUUACAUCUCUUCGGAGCAUUUUACGAGGUGCUGCAUGGUUGUCGUCAGCUCGUGCCGUGAGGUGUCGGGUUAAGUCCCAUAACGAGCGCAACCCCUACCUUUAGUUGCCAUCAGGUUAAGCUGGGGACUCUAAAGGAACUGCCUACGCAAGUAGUGAGGAAGCGGGGAUGACGUCAAAUCAGCACGGCCCUUACGUCCAGGGCUACACACGUGCUACAAUGGCCGAUACAGAGGGCAGCUACCUGGUGACAGGAUGCAAAUCUCCAAAGUCGGUCUCAGUUCGGAUCGGAGUCUGCAACCCGACUCCGUGAAGUUGGAUUCGCUAGUAAUCGCGCAUCAGCCAUGGCGCGGUGAAUACGUUCCCGGGCCUU